UACGUAGGGGGCAAGCGUUGUCCGGAAUCAUUGGGCGUAAAGAGCGUGUAGGCGGCCAGAUAAGUCCGCUGUGAAAUCUCGAGGCUCAACUUCGAGCUGUCGGUGGAAACUGUCUGGCUAGAGUCCGGAAGAGGAGAAUGGAAUUCCUGGUGUAGCGGUGAAAUGCGCAGAUAUCAGGAGGAACACCGGUGGCGAAGGCGGAUCUCUGGGCCUUACCUGACGCUGAGGCGCGAAAGCUAGGGGAGCGAACAGG
rnacentral:rRNA from 1 species